rnacentral:rRNA from 1 species
AAUUCACAAUGAGGCGUCUGGGGUCACCUCCCACCCGUGUUUAUUUACCUUGUUGCUUCGGCGGGCCCGCCUUAACUGGCCGCCGGGGGGCUCACGCCCCCGGGCCCGCGCCCGCCGAAGACACCCUCGAACUCUGUCUGAAGAUUGUAGUCUGAGUGAAAAUAUAAAUUAUUUAAAACUUUCAACAACGGAUCUCUUGGUUCCGGCAUCGAUGAAGAACGCAGCGAAAUGCGAUACGUAAUGUGAAUUGCAAAUUCAGUGAAUCAUCGAGUCUUUGAACGCACAUUGCGCCCCCUGGUAUUCCGGGGGGCAUGCCUGUCCGAGCGUCAUUGCUGCCCUCAAGCACGGCUUGUGUGUUGGGCCCCGUCCUCCGAUUCCGGGGGACGGGCCCGAAAGGCAGCGGCGGCACCGCGUCCGGUCCUCGAGCGUAUGGGGCUUUGUCACCCGCUCUGUAGGCCCGGCCGGCGCUUGCCGAUCAACCCAAAUUUUUAUCCAGGUUGACCUCGGAUCAGGUAGGGAUACCCGCUGAACUUAAGCAUAUCAAUAAG